rnacentral:lncRNA from 1 species
ACAGAAGCAUCAGCUCAUAGGUAGCACUAGCUCACUCCAUCCUAGCCCCCGGGGAGGCCCAUGUCAGCGUAAGGCCCAUUUCCCAGCCCCAGGAAAUGGAGAAUUUUGAGACAGAGUCUCACUCUGUCACUCAGGCUGGAGUACAGCGGCUCAAUCUCGGCUCACUGCAACCUCUGCCUCCCAGGUUCAAGUGAUUCUCGUGCCUCAGCCUCCUGAGUAGAUGGGAUUAUAGGCGCCCACCACCAUGCCCGGCUAAUUUUUUGUAUUUAGGAUUCUGAUCACCUACUCCUGUUUGGGCUAAAUCCUAAGUAGCAGCAGAUGGGGCCCUCUGGCUGAAGGCUGCCCCAGUCUCCAGCUGCAGAAUGCGGGACAGAGAUAAAGUUGGUUGAGUGUGGUGGCUCAUGUGUAAUCUCAGCAUUUUGGGAGGCCGAGGCAGGAGGAUCUCUUGAGCUCAGGAGUUCAAGACCACCCUGGGCAAUGUGGCAAAACCCCAUCUCUACAAAAAAUACAAAAAUUAACCAGGGCCUGGGUGACAGAGUAAGGCUCCGUCUCUAAAUAAAUAAAUAAAUG